CAUACUACUUACAAAUUUGACAAUAAAUUAAUUUUAAAAACAUAUUAAUUUUUUAUAAUUUCAUAAGUUUAAAAUUAUAUUAAUUUUUAACUAAAAAAACAGGGACCAAUUUUUAACUUCAACCAUUUUAUAUCAUUAAACCUAAACCCAUUAACCCAAACUAUUCACAACCGGGAAGAAAUUUCCGGCCCUAAAAAAUAAAUUCGGGCAGUCUGACUGCCGGAAUCGAUGAAGAACAGAUCCGGUGGGAUCUGUUCUUCACGAUGGAACAGACCGCUGAGUCAAUCGGCGGUGGUGUGUAGCCAGAGUUUUCGGUCGGCGGUGGCUGGAGUGUUUGGUCGGCGGUGAUGAGGUAGCCGGAGGUUGUAGUGGAAGAAGAAGAAAAUUAGAGAAAAAGGGCCCUGAAACUGGAUUCUGCAUUUGCUAAGGAUUUUAUUUUGCAAGUUUUGUUAUGCAGCCAGCCACCAUCUUCAGCUAUUAAAAAGUAAGGAGAAGGCACUAAAAGUAUCAAUGAGUUUGCUCCCGAUCAUGAAAGUAGAACAUUCAAGUAAUAUGGAUUCAUAUUGUCAGUUAGUCGAUUUUUUUUUUUUACUUUUAUGUAACAUGUAAUCGUCUUAUGUAUUUACUUUUAUGAAUCUGAAGGCUAAGCCUUCCCCUUAUUUGUUUUUUUUUUUUUCAUUAACAAUAGAUUAGAUGUGUAUAUCGGUUUGCCAAAAUGAAAAUGGUUGUUGUGAUUGUGAUACCUAAUACAUUUUUCACUUUUUUUGUUGGUAUUAUUUAAAUUCUGCUUGCUUUUCGAUUGCUGGAUCCAAUACAUAAUAUUGAUUAUGAUAUCUAUUAGCAUUUUUGCUUGUUUCUUAUCUUUAUUGUU